AUUGAACGCUGGCGGCAGGCCUAACACAUGCAAGUCGAGCGAAUUUCACUUUCGGGUGAGGUGAGCGGCGAACGGGUGAGUAACGCGUAGGAAUCUGCCUGGUAGUGGGGGACAACGUUCCGAAAGGAACGCUAAUACCGCACACGCCCUACGGGGGAAAGUGGGGGAUCUUCGGACCUCACGCUAUCAGAGGAGCCUGCGUCGGAUUAGCUAGUUGGUGAGGUAAAGGCUCACCAAGGCGACGAUCCGUAGCUGGUCUGAGAGGAUGAUCAGCCACACCGGAACUGAGACACGGUCCGGACUCCUACGGGAGGCAGCAGUGGGGAAUAUUGGACAAUGGGGGUAACCCUGAUCCAGCCGUGCCGCGUGUGUGAAGAAGGCCUUCGGGUUGUAAAGCACUUUAAGCGGGGAGGAACGUUCGUUGGCAAAUACCCAGCGGAAUUGACGUUACCCGCAGAAUAAGCACCGGCUAACUCCGUGCCAGCCGCCGCGGUAAUAC
rnacentral:rRNA from 1 species